rnacentral:rRNA from 1 species
AACGAACGCUGGCGGCGUGGAUAAGACAUGCAAGUCGAACGGGACUUGUUUUGUAGCAAUACGAAGCAAGUUCAGUGGCGCAAGGGUGCGUAACACGUGAGUAAUCUGCCGAGAAGUGGGGAAUAGCUCGCCGAAAGGCGAAUUAAUGCCGCAUAUCAUUCAUGGGGACAUCCCUGUGAAUCAAAGCCUUCGGGCGCUUUUUGAUGAACUCGCGGUCUAUCAGCUAGUUGGCGGGGUAAAAGCCCACCAAGGCUAUGACGGAUAGCUGGUCUGAGAGGACGACCAGCCACACUGGAACUGAGACACGGUCCAGACACCUACGGGUGGCAGCAGUCGAGAAUUUUUCUCAAUGGGGGAAACCCUGAAGGAGCGACGCCGCGUGGAGGAUGAAGGUCUUCGGAUUGUAAACUCCUGUCAUUGGUGAACAAAGCCCUUCAAUGGGUUUGAUAGUAGCCGAAGAGGAAGAGACAGCUAACUCUGUGCCAGCAGCCGCCGUAAUAC